GCAUUAAUGGGGUAGUGGUAACCUGGGUCGUUGCCACCUGAAAAUUGAAAGUGUCGACCUGCCGGGGGUUCAAUUCCCCCUUAAUGCA